rnacentral:rRNA from 1 species
GGGGUGCUCGAGUGGCGAACGGGUGAGUAACACGUGAGUAACCUGCCCUUGACUUUGGGAUAACUUCAGGAAACUGGGGCUGAUACCGGAUAGGAGCUCCUGCUGCAUGGUGGGGGUUGGAAAGUUUCGGCGGUUGGGGAUGGACUCGCGGCUUAUCAGCUUGUUGGUGGGGUAGUGGCUUACCAAGGCUUUGACGGGUAGCCGGCCUGAGAGGGUGACCGGCCACAUUGGGACUGAGAUACGGCCCAG